GCCGGUGUAGCUCAAUUGGCAGAGCAUUCGCCUUGUAAGCGAAAGGUUCCGGGUUCGAGUCCCGCCACCGGCU
rnacentral:tRNA from 1 species